UGCAACUUUGAAGCUGGAUCCCUUGCUGGCUGCAGGGAAAUGAGAACCCUGCCACUGGUAUUAGGUGGGGAAAUGAUAGCCCCUAGCAUGCUAUAGCAGUGCAGUUGUUAGAACUUUUACAAGUUCUGAGCUGGAAUAGGACACGAGUGGAAGAAUCAUAUCUUCGCAUCUGAAAGAAGGCAACAGCAUUGAGCAACAAUCUGGGACUCUAUUUGAUAUCUUCCCUUGAGAAGUGUUAAAUGUUGCCAUAAUCUUGACAGUUCAAAAGUUAGUCAUGUGGUUGAUAUUUUACCAAUGAGAUGAAUGUGACUGUAAUAUGGGCAAAUCCCACCUACCAUAAAAGCUGGCAAUACUUGCCUAAUAUUGAAGGAAGGAGACAUUUAGAGCAAGCCAGGAAGCUGGAACACCGGAUCAGGAACAGACACUUCUCCGCAAGUUUAGAGUUUGGUAUUUCUCAAGUCCUGGCCUGAGGGAUGUUUACUCUCAGGUUAUACAAAGUCCCAGCUUGGGUUCUGGAAAAAUUGAACUGACAACUUUGCCUGAAAGAAGUUUCUUGCUAACUCCUAGGAAAGAAGGUGAGAAUGAGGCCACUGACGUCAUCUUGGCUUGGUUUACUUAAGCCUGGGCAAAGAGGGAAAAGGGCA
rnacentral:lncRNA from 1 species